rnacentral:rRNA from 1 species
CAGUCGCCGCGGGAAUACAGAGGGUGCGAGCGUUAAUCGGAUUUACUGGGCGUAAAGCGUGCGUAGGCGGCUUUUUAAGUCGGACGUGAAAUCCCUGAGCUUAACUUAGGAAUUGCAUUCGAUACUGGGAAGCUAGAGUAUGGGAGAGGAUGGUAGAAUUCCAGGUGUAGCGGUGAAAUGCGUAGAGAUCUGGAGGAAUACCGAUGGCGAAGGCAGCCAUCUGGCCUAAUACUGACGCUGAGGUACGAAAGCAUGGGGAGCAAACAGGAUUAGAUACCCCCGUAGUCCCUGUCUCUUAUAC